rnacentral:rRNA from 1 species
CGGGACGGGUGAGUAACGCGUGGGUAACCUGCCUCACACUGGGGGACAACAGUUAGAAAUGACUGCUAAUACCGCAUAAGCGCACAGGACCGCAUGGUCCGGUGUGAAAAACUCCGGUGGUGUGAGAUGGACCCGCGUUUGAUUAGCUAGUUGGUGGGGUAACGGCCUACCAAGGCGAUGAUCAGUAGCCGGUCUGAGAGGAUGAACGGCCACAUUGGGACUGAGACACGGCCCAG